rnacentral:rRNA from 1 species
AGCGAACGCUGGCGGCAUGCUUAACACAUGCAAGUCGCGCGGGUGGUUUCGGCCAUCAGCGGCGGACGGGUGAGUAUCGCGUAGGAAUGUAUCCCGAGGUGGGGGACAACCCUGGGAAACUGGGGCUAAUACCGCAUGGGGCCUGUGGGUCAAAGCCUUAGGGCGCCUUGGGAGCAGCCUGCGUCCGAUUAGGUAGUUGGUGGGGUAAAGGCCUACCAAGCCUGCGAUCGGUAGCUGGUCUGAGAGGACGAUCAGCCACACUGGGACUGAGGCACGGCCCAGACUCCUACGGGAGGCAGCAGUGGGGAAUAUUGGACAAUGGGCGCAAGCCUGAUCCACCAAUGCCGCGUGGGUGAAGAAGGUCUUCGGAUUGUAAAGCCCUUUCGGCGGGGACGAUGAUGACGGUACCCGCAGAAGAAGCCCCGGCUAACUUCGUG